GCCCCCCAGAGCUUGGUGGUGUCCCAGGACGGUCCUCCCAGGAAACAUUUUGAAUAAGUUGCUGAAGUGCCUGAUGGACGUGGCUCUCGUCACGAAAUGAGUUUGGAUCCGAGAAGCCCUCUUCUUCAUCGGAAAACAGGACAAAGAUGAGCUGCGUGCCCAUAAUUCCACGUUUACGCUGACUCCUCCAGUGCCUCAUCAAUGAAGUAAGCAGGCAGCUACGUUCUGGAUGGCUAGCAUGUACCGAAGGCACAAAACCUCCAGAGUUGGCAGAGUUAAGUCCUGGCGUGCCCGAGGCUAUCCAGGGGAACACGCGGGACAGACAGCACCCUCAGCCUGUCCCCAUGACCCUCUGCUCCAGUCUGAGGGGCAGGACACCAUGAGACCUCUCAGACACAGAGUCCACCCUCGACAUGACCCGGAUGAAAGGCAGGAGUGUGUGCCCUGCUUUUGCCCUCGAAGCUCGCUGAAGGGGACCCAUCUCUGCAAGCCCACAGCCCUACCUGCAGCAUCCACAGCCUCAGAGAGCAGCGGGGCCCCUUACCCCUGAACCCCCUCCAAGAGCAUCAGGACAACAAGCCUUGAGCUGUGGAGACAAGAGAAUCAGUAUCCCUGGCCCAGGGAGGAUUCCAGGAGAGGACACGGGCAGGAGCCCUGGCCCAGAGCCAGAACCAAGAGUCCAGCCAGAGGCGGCUAGAGCAUCACCUCUUCACGCAAGUGUCUUGAAACUCAGCUUGAAGAUUUCAGCAAAUGUGUCUUACAGAGAAGAGAAGAGGGAGUCAGCCCAUCGGGAUUAAAAAUAUAGAGGCAGUGACAACACACACUCGGCUUCAGUUCUUAGGAGAGUUUUGGUUUUGAUUUUUUUUUUUUUUUUGGAGAAGAUUUUUUUUUUAAUGGAUCUACACUGUUAACUGAGACUCUGUUGAGAUUCACUGGUUUACUUAAAAACUUCUCAGGGAUGUCUGUAAAUUUCAGUGUUAUAUGUCAUGAAAACUGGUGUGGGCAGAUCUGUUGGUUGAAAUAAUUUCUACUGUUUCAAAUACUGAAGGCAGGAAUAAUUGGUUUAUACUGUGUUUUAAAUAGAAGUAUUACUGGUAAGUCCCCCAGGACAUUAAACCUUAAAAAUCA
rnacentral:lncRNA from 10 species